CUCAAAUUUGAAAGCUGGUACCUUCGGUAUCCGCGUUGUAACCUCGAGACACGUUUUCCGUGCGGCGCUAUGGACAAGUUCCUUGGAACAGGACAUCGUAGAGGGUGAAAAUCCCGUACUUGCCAUGGAUGUACCGUGCUUUGCGAUACGUGCUCUAAGAGUCGAGUUGUUUGGGAUUGCAGCUCAAAAUGGGUGGUAGACUCCAUCUAAAGCUAAAUAUCGGGGAGAGACCGAUAGCGAACAAGUACCGUGAGGGAAAGAUGAAAAGCACUUUGGAAAGAGAGUUAAAAGUACGUGAAAUUGUCGAAAGGGAAGCGCUUGAAGUCAGCCAUGCCGCUCAGGACUCAGCCUGGCUUUUGCUUGGUGUAUUUCCUGGGUAGCAAGUCAGCAUUGGUUUGGAUCGUCGGAGAAGCAUAGUUGGAAUGUGGCGCCCUCGGGCGUGUUAUAGCCUUCUAUUGGAUACGACGAUCUGGACCAAGGAACGCAGCGCGCCUUAUGGCGGGUCUUCGGACACCUUCGCGCUUAGGAUGCUGGCGUAAUGGCUUUA
rnacentral:rRNA from 1 species